rnacentral:rRNA from 1 species
GAUGAACGCUAGCUACAGGCUUAACACAUGCAAGUCGAGGGGCAGCAUGGUCUUAGCUUGCUAAGGCCGAUGGCGACCGGCGCACGGGUGAGUAACACGUAUCCAACCUGCCGUCUACUCUUGGACAGCCUUCUGAAAGGAAGAUUAAUACAAGAUGGCAUCAUGAGUCCGCAUGUUCACAUGAUUAAAGGUAUUCCGGUAGACGAUGGGGAUGCGUUCCAUUUGAUAGUAGGCGGGGUAACGGCCCACCUAGUCUUCGAUGGAUAGGGGUUCUGAGAGGAAGGUCCCCCACAUGGGAACUGGGACACGGUCCAAACACCUACUGGAGGCAGCAGUGAGGAAGAUUGGUCAAUGGGCGAGAGCCUGAACCAGCCAAGUAGCGUGAAGGAUGACUGCCCUAUGGGUUGUAAACUUCUUUUAUAAAGGAAUAAAGUCGGGUAUGGAUACCCGUUUGCAUGUACUUUAUGAAUAAGGAUCGGCUAACUCCGUG